rnacentral:rRNA from 1 species
GAAGGUGGCAAGCGUUAUUCGGAUUUACUGGGCGUAAAGCGCGCGUAGGCGGUCAGGUCAGUCGGAUGUGGAAGCCUCAGCUCAACUGAGGAACUGCGUCCGAUACUGCUUGGCUUGAGUCCGGUAGGGGAUGGCGGAAUUCCCGGUGUAGCGGUGGAAUGCGUAGAUAUCGGGAGGAACACCGAUGGCGAAGGCGGCCAUCUGGGCCGGAACUGACGCUGAGGCGCGAGAGCUAGGGGAGCAAACAGGAUUAGAUACCCUGGUAGUCCUAGCUGUAAACGAUGGGCACUUGAUGUCGCGGGUUUCUACCCCUGCGGCGUCGGAGCUAACGCGUUAAGUGCCCCGCCUGGGGAGUACGGUCGCAAGGCUA